GUUCCAGAAGAGGAGACCCAGUGCCUGGUCUCGGUCGUGUUUUCCCUCCUCAAGCAUCCCAGCAUCUUGCUGACACUGAUCUGGGUCUGGGAACAUCUUUCCUGAAUAAACAUGAUGUCAUUUCCAUUCCAUUCAGCCUGUGCCGGGACAGCUGCUGUCAGCAUCACUGAGGGAAAUGCCACCUCGGCCCUGACAGCUGCCACUUGGCACACUUUGUAGAGAGCUUCUCCGGGAAGGAAAAAACCAGCCAGUCAUGCAGAUGCUAUUUAA
rnacentral:lncRNA from 1 species